ACGAAGAAAGGGCCGGGCAAGACCGGUGCCCAGCCGCCGCGGUAAUACCGGCGGCUCGAGUGGUGGCCACUAUUACUGGGCUUAAAGCGUUCGUAGCUUGGUUGUUAAGUCUCCUGGGAAAUCUAUCGGCUUAACCGAUAGGCGUCCAGGGGAUACUGGCAAUCUAGGGACCGGGAGAGGUGAGGGGUACUUCAGGGGUAGGAGUGAAAUCCUGUAAUCCUUGGGGGACCACCUGUGGCGAAGGCGCCUCACCAGAACGGCUCCGACAGUGAGGGACGAAAGCUGGGGGAGCAAACCGGAUUAGAUACCCGGGUAGUCCCAGCCGUAAACGAUGCACGUUAGGUGUAUCGAUGACCACGAGUCAUCGAGGUGCCGAAGGGAAACCGUGAAACGUGCCGCCUGGGAAGUACGGCCGCAAGGCUGAAACUUAAAGGAAUUGGCGGGGGAGCACCACAACGGGUGGAGCUUGCGGUUUAAUUGGAUUCAACGCCGGAAAUCUUACCGGGACCGACAGCAAUAUGAAGGCCAGGCUGAAGACUUUGCCGGAUUAGCUGAGAAGAAA
rnacentral:rRNA from 1 species